rnacentral:rRNA from 1 species
UACGUAGGGUGCGAGCGUUAAUCGGAAUCACUGGGCGUAAAGGGCGCGUAGGCGGCCUGCUAAGUCGGACGUGAAAUCCCCCGGCUCAACCGGGGAACUGCGUCCGAUACUGGUGGGCUCGAAUCCGGGAGAGGGAUGUGGAAUUCCAGGUGUAGCGGUGAAAUGCGUAGAUAUCUGGAGGAACACCGGUGGCGAAGGCGGCAUCCUGGACCGGCAUUGACGCUGAGGCGCGAAAGCCAGGGGAGCAAACGGG